AGGUGCCUGUAGUCCCGGCUACUCAGGACGCUGAGGCAGGAGAAUGGUGUGAACCUGGGAGGCAGAGCUUGCAGUGAGCGAGAUUCCCCCACUGCACUCCAGCUUGGGUGACAGGGCGAUACUCUCAAAAAAAAAAAAAAAAAAAAAAAAAGAAACCAAAGGAUUUUUUUUUUCCUUUCCAUUCCUGCCUUCUCUCAUUCCCUCCCUCCAUUCCUUCUGGUAAAUGAUGCUCUCUAACCCUGUCUCACCCUCCUUUCUCCACCUAUUGACAUAUAGUUAAUCACCUACAAUGGACACCUUGACAAAGUUAUUUUGUAUAUUUUUGCAGAUAGUUUAGCUUUGGAGUCAGACAGGCCUGGUUUCUAAGUUUUUUGUUUACUAGAUGUGGGAAUUUAGGCAAGUUACCUAAACACUCUGAAUCUUGUUUUUUACAUUCAUUAGGUGUAGAUUAUAAUAAUAACUACCUUUGGAUUUGUGGUGAAGAUUAAAUGAGAUUGUGUAUGUAAGGAUCUGGUAUGUAGAAUCAAUGAAUAUUAGUGCUGUUCUCAUUUUUGGUACCCCAUAGUACCUUGCACAGUGUUAGGCACAUAGAACCUGCUCAGAAAAUACUUACUAAUUGACUGUAUAUUACAUCUUAAUAAAAUCUUGUUAAAUUGUUUUCAGGAGGACUUUCGACUGCAUUUUAGAAAUAUUUCAAGAAUUAUGGAUUGUGUUGGUUGUUUUAAAUGUCGUCUGUGGGGAAAGCUUCAGACUCAGGGUUUGGGCACUGCUCUGAAGAUCUUAUUUUCUGAGAAAUUGAUAGCAAAUAUGCCAGAAAGUGGACCUAGUUAUGAAUUCCAUCUAACC
rnacentral:lncRNA from 10 species